rnacentral:rRNA from 1 species
GGAUGAACGCUGGCGGCGUGCCUAAUACAUGCAAGUCGAGCGAACAGACAAGGAGCUUGCUCCUUUGACGUUAGCGGCGGACGGGUGAGUAACACGUGGGUAACCUACCUAUAAGACUGGGAUAACUUCGGGAAACCGGAGCUAAUACCGGAUAAUAUUUCGAACCGCAUGGUUCGAUAGUGAAAGAUGGUUUUGCUAUCACUUAUAGAUGGACCCGCGCCGUAUUAGCUAGUUGGUAAGGUAACGGCUUACCAAGGCGACGAUACGUAGCCGACCUGAGAGGGUGAUCGGCCACACUGGAACUGAGACACGGUCCAGACUCCUACGGGAGGCAGCAGUAGGGAAUCUUCCGCAAUGGGCGAAAGCCUGACGGAGCAACGCCGCGUGAGUGAUGAAGGUCUUCGGAUCGUAAAACUCUGUUAUUAGGGAAGAACAUACGUGUAAGUAACUAUGCACGUCUUGACGGUACCUAAUCAGAAAGCCACGGCUAACUACGUGCCAGCAGCCGCGGUAAUACGUAGGUGGCAAGCGUUAUCCGGAAUUAUUGGGCGUAAAGCGCGCGUAGGCGGUUUUUUAAGUCUGAUGUGAAAGCCCACGGCUCAACCGUGGAGGGUCAUUGGAAACUGGAAAACUUGAGUGCAGAAGAGGAAAGUGGAAUUCCAUGUGUAGCGGUGAAAUGCGCAGAGAUAUGGAGGAACACCAGUGGCGAAGGCGACUUUCUGGUCUGUAACUGACGCUGAUGUGCGAAAGCGUGGGGAUCAAACAGGAUUAGAUACCCUGGUAGUCCACGCCGUAAACGAUGAGUGCUAAGUGUUAGGGGGUUUCCGCCCCUUAGUGCUGCAGCUAACGCAUUAAGCACUCCGCCUGGGGAGUACGACCGCAAGGUUGAAACUCAAAGGAAUUGACGGGGACCCGCA